rnacentral:rRNA from 1 species
UACGGAGGGUGCAAGCGUUGUCCGGAUUUAUUGGGUUUAAAGGGUGCGUAGGCGGCGCGCUAAGUCAGUGGUGAAAGCCUCCCGCUCAACGGGAGAAAUGCCAUUGAUACUGGCGUGCUUGAGUACGGACGAGGUAGGCGGAAUUUAUGGUGUAGCGGUGAAAUGCAUAGAUACCAUAAAGAACACCGAUAGCGUAGGCAGCUUACUAGACCGUAACUGACGCUGAGGCACGAAAGCGUGGGGAGCGAACAGG